GGCGCCGGGUGGCUCCACGCGUAGCAGGACCCACUUUUACUCUUCCGGACAACGGCCAACAGUGGUGACCUAGCCUCUUGUGAGGUGGUUCCCGGCGACUGCAGCGGAGACCGUGACUGGAGAUUACAGUUGAGGUCAUCUUCUCUGUGACCUAAACCCACUCCGCAGGUGGAAAGCCCAUUUUGCUACAACUUGGCAAGCAUCAUCAUCACUUGGGGAUUUAUGGAGCCUGGGCCCCUCCGUUAAAGUCUGCUGCAGCAAACUGAGACCUUCUGAGACAUGGCGGAAGGCAAUGUAAGCAAAGUCUGAAUAGGAUGAAUUGCUGAUUUUGCGUAGAAGAGUACUAAGCAAAAAGGAGAAAGCCCACAGCAAACUGCUCAGGAUGUUUGUUAUCCCUUGAAGGAAUGAAAAAGUUUUAAGUUCUGUGCAAGAUGCAAUUGAAGUUUUGUUUUAUUCUAUAUAAUCUAAGACUGGUUGCAGAGUAUAUUUAAAUAAUUGUAGAAGACUAUUGGGAAGGUAUAUUGGGAGGGGAAUCGCUCUCAAAAGACUUUCAUACUCAAUAUUUAAAGAGGUUUCCUUGUUCUAUCCCAGUAAGCCAAGCAAAUUCCCUUUAAGCCAUCCAUUUUCUAUUCCAUACUGUAUUUUUCCCAUGAUAAAUGCAUAAAAUGCUACAAAGUCA